rnacentral:rRNA from 1 species
GUGCAGCAGGCGCGAAAACUCCGCAAUGCGCGAAAGCGUGACGGGGGAACCCCAAGUGCCGUUGGUCUUCUGAUCGACGGCUUUUGUGGAGUCUAGGAAGCUCCACGAAUAAGGGCUGGGUAAGUCGGGUGCCAGCCGCCGCGGUAAUACCCGCAGCCCAAGUGGUGGUCGCGAUUAUUGGGCCUAAAGCGCUCGUAGCCGGACUAGCAAGUCCCUUGUGAAAUCGGGCGGCCUAACCGUUCGGCUUGCAAGGGAUACUGCUGGCCUUGAGGCCGGAAGACGCCGAGGGUACUCUGGGGGUAGCGGUGAAAUGCUGUAAUCCUCGGGGGACCACCAGUGGCGAAGGCGCUCGGCGAGAACGGACCUGACGGUGAGGGGCGAAGGCUAGGGGAGCGAACGGGAUUAGAUUUGGAAAGGAGAAAUAUCCUUCCACUGAAGACCCGGGUAGUCC